rnacentral:rRNA from 1 species
GAGUUUGAUCCUGGCUCAGAUUGAACGCUAGCGGGAUGCCUUACACAUGCAAGUCGAACGGCAGCACGGACUUGGUCUGGUGGCGAGUGGCGAACGGGUGAGUAAUGUAUCGGAACGUGCCCAGUAGCGGGGGAUAACUACGCGAAAGCGUAGCUAAUACCGCAUACGCCCUACGGGGGAAAGCAGGGGAUCGCAAGACCUUGCACUAUUGGAGCGGCCGAUAUCGGAUUAGCUAGUUGGUGGGGUAACGGCUCACCAAGGCGACGAUCCGUAGCUGGUUUGAGAGGACGACCAGCCACACUGGGACUGAGACACGGCCCAGACUCCUACGGGAGGCAGCAGUGGGGAAUUUUGGACAAUGGGGGAAACCCUGAUCCAGCCAUCCCGCGUGUGCGAUGAAGGCCUUCGGGUUGUAAAGCACUUUUGGCAGGAAAGAAACGUCAUGGGUUAAUACCCCGUGAAACUGACGGUACCUGCAGAAUAAGCACCGGCUAACUACGUGCCAGCAGCCGCGGUAAUACGUAGGGUGCAAGCGUUAAUCGGAAUUACUGGGCGUAAAGCGUGCGCAAGCGGUUCGGAAAGAAAGAUGUGAAAAUCCCAGAGCUUAACUUUUGGAACUGCAUUUUUAACUACCGGGCUAAAGUGUGUCAAAAGGAGGUUGGAAUUCCGCGUGGUAGCAAUAAAUGCGUAGAUAUGCGGGAGGACACCU